rnacentral:lncRNA from 1 species
AUCUCAUGGGCUACAGUCCAUGGGGUUGCAAAGAAUUGUACACAACUGAGCAACUAACACACACAGCUGCUUGGCUACUUAGAGAUUAUUCAACUCAUUAUGAAACUGAGGUUCAGAAAAACUUGACUUGGACUAAUCAGUUGGACACUAACAAGUGCUGGUAAAGACCUACAUGAUAAUUUUCUGAAGGCUCUGGCAGCGAGAGAAGAAGACAAUCGCAGUGGAAAAGUGAGCGUGAGUGCAUUUCAUUCAGAGAUUAAAAAUGUAUACCUUAAAGGCACAUUAGUAUAUAAUAUCUAGUUAGUUGAUAAUAUAAUUUUAAAUA